rnacentral:rRNA from 1 species
ACCUGAUGCAGCGACGCCGCGUGAGGGAUGACGGCCUCGGGUUGUAAAACCUCUUUCAGUAGGGAAGAAGCGAAAGUGACGGUACCUGCAGAAGAAGCGCCGGCUAACUACGUGCCAGCAGCCGCGGUAAUACGUAGGGCGCAAGCGUUAUCCGGAAUUAUUGGGCGUAAAGAGCUCGCAGGCGGUUUGUCGCGUCUGCCGUGAAAGUCCGGGGCUCAACUCCGGAUCUGCGGUGGGUACGGGCAGACUAGAGUGAUGUAGGGGAGACUGGAAUUCCUGGUGUAGCGGUGAAAUGCGCAGAUAUCAGGAGGAACACCGAUGGCGAAGGCAGGUCUCUGGGCAUUAACUGACGCUGAGGAGCGAAAGCAUGGGGAGCGAACAGGAUUAGAUACCCUGGUAGUCCAUGCCGUAAACGUUGGGCACUAGGUGUGGGGGACAUUCCACGUUUUCCGCGCCGUAGCUAACGCAUUAAGUGCCCCGCCUGGGGAGUACGGCCGCAAGGCUA